GUAACCAACCCACCUCCUGUCCCCUUCCAGGUGCAGGCGGAGGGCACCAUGACCUUCAGGCUGCUCCCGGCCAGCAGCUCGGUGCACCUCAGGGAGAGCAAGGUGAGGGUGCACGCCUACUUCCACUAUGACCCCAAGGAGGACAACAAGCACAUUCCCUGCAAGGAAGCCGGGCUGCCCUUCAACAAGCUGGACAUCCUGCACAUUGUGACCCAGGAUGACCCCUACUGACAGUGUUUGACCGUGUGGACGGACCCUGACGGUUGCUGUGAUGUGCAGGUGACGGCUUGGUGACGCAGGGCAUGGAGGACACAGCGCUGCAGUGGCUCAGCGAACGCCUCGGCCACCCAGACAACUUCACUUCUGUGAUAUUCCUGCCCAGACCAAGGCCUGGAGCACCGCUUCACGAGGAAGUAAAUCUUCAUUACCGACGAGACGAGCGGCGAGGCGGCACCGCGGCUCCAGGCGGGGCGGCGGCUCCUCCGACACCCGCGUCAUGCCCUUCAGCUUCCAGCAGCAGACGAGCGGCUGAACAGACACUCCCCGGGAUGUCUGAACGACAGCCAGGCUGGACUGAAUGAUCCAGCAGUUGCAGUUACACUGGGACUUUCCAAAUACAGCAACACAUACUCGCCACCUUCCUCUUGGCCACCCUGAUUGUUGUGCAAUUCCAUGUGUGGUCAGGUGUUGCAACCCUCCAAUAAGCACCUGUACCAAUCUGGAUAGAGAUGUGUAGUUCACAGUGUAAGGACAAUCCAGUUGUCAGUCAAACAUCUGGCACUGUUCCCCAAAAGAGCUGACAAACUCCGA